rnacentral:rRNA from 1 species
AGCAGCCGCGGUAAUUCCAGCUCCAAUAGCGUAUAUUAAAGUUGUUGCAGUUAGAAAGCUCGUAGUUGAAUUUCGGGGUUCUACCGUUGGUCGGGCUUUGUCUGUACUGGCGUGUAGAAUUUCUACCUUCUGGGGAACCAUCAUGUUAUUAAUUUAACGUGGUGGGAAACCAGGACCUUUACCUUGAAAAAAUUAGAGUGUUCAAAAGCAGGCUUAUGUCUGAAUACAUUAGCAUGGAAUAAUAGAAUAGGACGGUGGUCCUGUUUUGUUGGUUUCUGAAUCACCGUAAUGAUUAAUAGGGAUAGUUGGGGGCAUUAGUAUUCAAUUGUCAGAGGUGAAAUUCUUGGAUUUAUUGAAGACUAACUUCUGCGAAAGCAUUUGCCAAGGAUGUUUUCAUUAAUCAAGAACGAAAGUUAGGGGAUCGAAGACGAAUCAGAUACCGUCGUAGUCUUAACCAUAAACUAUGCCGACU